UUCCUUUAGAAAAAAUUAUAGGUAAAACCUGCUCCAUGAAAAAUAAAUAGCUGCAGGAGACUGUACUAAGGUAGCAUAAUCAUUUGUUUUUUAAUUGAAGACUAGAAUGAAGGGUUAAACGAAUUUUAAAAAAUUCUGUUUAAAAAGAUUGAAGUUAAUUUCUAUAUAAAAAAGUUUAGAUAGAAUUUAGGGACGAGAAGACCCUAAAAAGCUUAUAAGAAUUUUUAUAUUAUAUUAGAAUUCUAAUUUAGUUGGGGCAACUUAAUAAGAAAAGAAUCUUGAUUUUAAAUGAUCCAAAAUUUUUGAUUAAAAAUAAAGUUACUUUAGGGAUAACAGCAUAAUAAAACUAUUCAAGAUCAAAUUGAUUAGUUUGUUUGUGACCUCGAUGUUGGAUUAAUUUUCCUGAAAGAGGAAUAAUAUUUUUAAGGUCGUCUGUUCGACGAAUAAUCUAUUACA
rnacentral:rRNA from 1 species